rnacentral:rRNA from 1 species
ACGGGUGAGUAACGCGUGGGAAUCUACCGUGCCCUGCGGAAUAGCUCCGGGAAACUGGAAUUAAUACCGCAUACGCCCUACGGGGGAAAGAUUUAUCGGGGUAUGAUGAGCCCGCGUUGGAUUAGCUAGUUGGUGGGGUAAAGGCCUACCAAGGCGACGAUCCAUAGCUGGUCUGAGAGGAUGAUCAGCCACAUUGGGACUGAGACACGGCCCAAACUCCUACGGGAGGCAGCAGUGGGGAAUAUUGGACAAUGGGCGCAAGCCUGAUCCAGCCAUGCCGCGUGAGUGAUGAAGGCCUUAGGGUUGUAAAGCUCUUUCACCGGAGAAGAUAAUGACGGUAUCCGGAGAAGAAGCCCCGGCUAACUUCGUGCCAGCAGCCGCGGUAAUACGAAGGGGGCUAGCGUUGUUCGGAAUUACUGGGCGAAAAGCGCACGUAGGCGGAUAUUUAAGUCAGGGGUGGAAUCCCAGAGCUCAACUCUGGAACUGCCUUUGAUACUGGGUAUCUUGAGUAUGGAAGAGGUAAGUGGAAUUCCGAGUGUAGAGGUGAAGUUCGUAGA